UACGGGGGGGGUAAGCGUUGUUCGGAAUUACUGGGCGUAAAGGGCUCGUAGGCGGCCAACUAAGUCAUACGUGAAAUCCCUCGGCUUAACCGGGGAACUGCGUCUGAUACUGGAUGGCUUGAGUUCGGGAGAGGGAUGCGGAAUUCCAGGUGUAGCGGUGAAAUGCGUAGAUAUCUGGAGGAACACCGGUGGCGAAGGCGGCAUCCUGGACCGACACUGACACUGAGGAGCGAAAGCCAGGGGAGCAAACGGG
rnacentral:rRNA from 1 species